CCUUUGUACACACCGCCCGUCGCUACUACCGAUUGAAUGGCUCAGUGAGGCUUCCGGACUGGCCCAGGGAGGUCGGCAACGACCACCCAGGGCCGGAAAGCUAUCCAAACUCGGUCAUUUAGAGG
rnacentral:rRNA from 1 species